rnacentral:rRNA from 1 species
UAAAAAUCUUACUUCACCAUACAAAUUAAACUAAAACAUUCUUCUGCCCCAGUAUGGGCGACAGAAAAGGCACCACUGGCGCUAUAGAGAUCCGUACCGUAAGGGAAAGAUGAAAUAGUAAUGAAAACCCGAGCAAAAAACAGCAAAGAUAAACCCUUGUACCUCUUGCAUCAUGAUUUAGCAAGAACAACCAAGCAAAACGAGUUUAAGCUUGCCACCCCGAAACCCGAGCGAGCUACUUACAAGCAGCUACCCCCUGAGCGAACCCGUCUCUGUUGCAAAAGAGUGGGAUGACUUGUUAGUAGAGGUGAAAAGCCUACCGAGCCGGGUGAUAGCUGGUUGCCCGUGAAAUGAAUCUAAGUUCUCUCUUAAUUUUCUCUUUUUUCCCCCCCGGACAUCCAACCGCAAACCACCAUGUGACAAAUCAAGAGCAAUUUAAAGGAGGUACAGCUCCUUUAAAAAAGAAUACAAUCUCCCCUAGCGGAUAACUGCCCAACUGACACUAAACUGUGGGCCCUCAAGCAGCCAUCAACAAAGAGUGCGUCAAAGCUCUACCCCAAAAAAAUCCAAAAACAACAGGACUCCCUUAUCUAUAACGGGCCAACCUAUAAUAAUAGGAGAAUCAAUGCUAAAAUGAGUAAUCGGGGGCCACCCUCUCGAGCGCAAACUUACAUCACCACAUUGUUAACAGGCCCUAAACUAAUAUCCCACCCUCAAACAAGCUAAGUAUUAAACUUGCCCUGUUAGUCCGACUCAGGAGCGCCCAAUUAGAAAGAUUCAAAUCUGCAAAAGGAACUAGGCAACCCUAAGGCCCGACUGUUUACCAAAAACAUAGCCUUCAGCCAACCAAGUAUUGAAGGUGAUGCCUGCCCAGUGACACCCCGUUCAACGGCCGCGGUAUCCUAACCGUGCGAAGGUAGCGCAAUCAAUUGUCCCAUAAAUCGAGACUUGUAUGAAUGGCUAAACGAGGUCUUAACUGUCUCUUGCAGACAAUCAAUGAAAUUGAUCUUCCUGUGCAAAAGCAGGAAUAAACCCAUAAGACGAGAAGACCCUGUGGAACUUAAAAAUCAGCGGCCACCACACACAACCCAAAGCCUACCAGGCCUACGACCCCAAGUAAAACACUGGCCCGCAUUUUUCGGUUGGGGCGACCUUGGAGAAAAGUAAAUCCUCCAAAAACAAGACCACACACCUUGACCAAGAACAACCCCUCAACGUACUAACAGUAACCAGACCCAAUAUAAUUGACCAAUGGACCAAGCUACCCCAGGGAUAACAGCGCAAUCCCCUCCAAGAGCCCAUAUCGACAAGGGGGUUUACGACCUCGAUGUUGGAUCAGGACACCCUAAUGGUGCAGCCGCUAUUAAGGGUUCGUUUGUUCAACGAUUAACAGUCCUACGUGAUCUGAGUUCAGACCGGAGCAAUCCAGGUCGGUUUCUAUCUAUGCCGGGCUUUUCCUAGUACGAAAGGACCGGAAAAGCAAGGCCCAUACUACAGGCAUGCCUUCCCUCUAAGUAGUGAACCCAACUAAACUACCAAACAGGACACACCAUUCCACCAUCCUAGAAAAGGAUCG